GGUUAAGCGACUAAGCGUACACGGUGGAUGCCCUGGCAGUCAGAGGCGAUGAAGGACGUGCUAAUCUGCGAUAAGCGUCGGUAAGGUGAUAUGAACCGUUAUAACCGGCGAUUUCCGAAUGGGGAAACCCAGUGUGUUUCGACACACUAUCAUUAACUGAAUCCAUAGGUUAAUGAGGCGAACCGGGGGAACUGAAACAUCUAAGUACCCCGAGGAAAAGAAAUCAACCGAGAUUCCCCCAGUAGCGGCGAGCGAACGGGGAGCAGCCCAGAGUCUGAAUCAGUGUGUGUGUUAGUGGAAGCGUCUGGAAAGGCGCGCGAUACAGGGUGACAGCCCCGUACACAAAAAUGCACAUACUGUGAGCUCGAUGAGUAGGGCGGGACACGUGGUAUCCUGUCUGAAUAUGGGGGGACCAUCCUCCAAGGCUAAAUACUCCUGACUGACCGAUAGUGAACCAGUACCGUGAGGGAAAGGCGAAAAGAACCCCGGCGAGGGGAGUGAAAAAGAACCUGAAACCGUGUACGUACAAGCAGUGGGAGCCUCUUUUAUGGGGUGACUGCGUACCUUUUGUAUAAUGGGUCAGCGACUUAUAUUCUGUAGCAAGGUUAACCGAAUAGGGGAGCCGAAGGGAAACCGAGUCUUAACUGGGCGUUAAGUUGCAGGGUAUAGACCCGAAACCCGGUGAUCUAGCCAUGGGCAGGUUGAAGGUUGGGUAACACUAACUGGAGGACCGAACCGACUAAUGUUGAAAAAUUAGCGGAUGACUUGUGGCUGGGGGUGAAAGGCCAAUCAAACCGGGAGAUAGCUGGUUCUCCCCGAAAGCUAUUUAGGUAGCGCCUCGUGAAUUCAUCUCCGGGGGUAGAGCACUGUUUCGGCAAGGGGGUCAUCCCGACUUACCAACCCGAUGCAAACUGCGAAUACCGGAGAAUGUUAUCACGGGAGACACACGGCGGGUGCUAACGUCCGUCGUGAAGAGGGAAACAACCCAGACCGCCAGCUAAGGUCCCAAAGUCAUGGUUAAGUGGGAAACGAUGUGGGAAGGCCCAGACAGCCAGGAUGUUGGCUUAGAAGCAGCCAUCAUUUAAAGAAAGCGUAAUAGCUCACUGGUCGAGUCGGCCUGCGCGGAAGAUGUAACGGGGCUAAACCAUGCACCGAAGCUGCGGCAGCGACGCUUAUGCGUUGUUGGGUAGGGGAGCGUUCUGUAAGCCUGUGAAGGUGUGCUGUGAGGCAUGCUGGAGGUAUCAGAAGUGCGAAUGCUGACAUAAGUAACGAUAAAGCGGGUGAAAAGCCCGCUCGCCGGAAGACCAAGGGUUCCUGUCCAACGUUAAUCGGGGCAGGGUGAGUCGACCCCUAAGGCGAGGCCGAAAGGCGUAGUCGAUGGGAAACAGGUUAAUAUUCCUGUACUUGGUGUUACUGCGAAGGGGGGACGGAGAAGGCUAUGUUGGCCGGGCGACGGUUGUCCCGGUUUAAGCGUGUAGGCUGGUUUUCCAGGCAAAUCCGGAAAAUCAAGGCUGAGGCGUGAUGACGAGGCACUACGGUGCUGAAGCAACAAAUGCCCUGCUUCCAGGAAAAGCCUCUAAGCAUCAGGUAACAUCAAAUCGUACCCCAAACCGACACAGGUGGUCAGGUAGAGAAUACCAAGGCGCUUGAGAGAACUCGGGUGAAGGAACUAGGCAAAAUGGUGCCGUAACUUCGGGAGAAGGCACGCUGAUAUGUAGGUGAAGUCCCUUGCGGAUGGAGCUGAAAUCAGUCGAAGAUACCAGCUGGCUGCAACUGUUUAUUAAAAACACAGCACUGUGCAAACACGAAAGUGGACGUAUACGGUGUGACGCCUGCCCGGUGCCGGAAGGUUAAUUGAUGGGGUCAGCGCAAGCGAAGCUCUUGAUCGAAGCCCCGGUAAACGGCGGCCGUAACUAUAACGGUCCUAAGGUAGCGAAAUUCCUUGUCGGGUAAGUUCCGACCUGCACGAAUGGCGUAAUGAUGGCCAGGCUGUCUCCACCCGAGACUCAGUGAAAUUGAACUCGCUGUGAAGAUGCAGUGUACCCGCGGCAAGACGGAAAGACCCCGUGAACCUUUACUAUAGCUUGACACUGAACAUUGAGCCUUGAUGUGUAGGAUAGGUGGGAGGCUUUGAAGUGUGGACGCCAGUCUGCAUGGAGCCGACCUUGAAAUACCACCCUUUAAUGUUUGAUGUUCUAACGUGGACCCGUGAUCCGGGUUGCGGACAGUGUCUGGUGGGUAGUUUGACUGGGGCGGUCUCCUCCUAAAGAGUAACGGAGGAGCACGAAGGUUGGCUAAUCCUGGUCGGACAUCAGGAGGUUAGUGCAAUGGCAUAAGCCAGCUUGACUGCGAGCGUGACGGCGCGAGCAGGUGCGAAAGCAGGUCAUAGUGAUCCGGUGGUUCUGAAUGGAAGGGCCAUCGCUCAACGGAUAAAAGGUACUCCGGGGAUAACAGGCUGAUACCGCCCAAGAGUUCAUAUCGACGGCGGUGUUUGGCACCUCGAUGUCGGCUCAUCACAUCCUGGGGCUGAAGUAGGUCCCAAGGGUAUGGCUGUUCGCCAUUUAAAGUGGUACGCGAGCUGGGUUUAGAACGUCGUGAGACAGUUCGGUCCCUAUCUGCCGUGGGCGCUGGAGAACUGAGGGGGGCUGCUCCUAGUACGAGAGGACCGGAGUGGACGCAUCACUGGUGUUCGGGUUGUCAUGCCAAUGGCACUGCCCGGUAGCUAAAUGCGGAAGAGAUAAGUGCUGAAAGCAUCUAAGCACGAAACUUGCCCCGAGAUGAGUUCUCCCUGACUCCUUGAGAGUCCUGAAGGAACGUUGAAGACGACGACGUUGAUAGGCCGGGUGUGUAAGCGCAGCGAUGCGUUGAGCUAACCGGUACUAAUGAACCGUGAGGCUUAACCUU
rnacentral:rRNA from 1 species